ACUGAGAACUAACAGAGAAUAAUGCCAAAGAAAGUAUAGGGGAUGUUAUUCGUUGUAAUUAGGACAAAGUGUGAAGAAAGUAAAGUGGACGAAAAGAUAAUUUGCCGUCGGCAGGGACCGAACCUGCGUCCUUCGAAUAACGCGUCCGAUGUUCUACCACUGAGCUACGGCGGCGGGCAUCCUCCCGUCCACCUUUAAGGGAUAUAUAUGUGGAUUUAAACCUAGGAGUGUUAGUCAGCGCCACAGAUUGCAGCCUUG
rnacentral:tRNA from 1 species